CCCUUAGAUGUUCUGGGCCGCACGCGCGCUACACUGAUGCAUUCAACGAGUCUACAACCUGGUCUGAUAGGGCUGGGUAAUCUUUUAAAUGUUUGUCGUGAUGGGGCUAGAUUUUUGCAAUUAUUAAUCUCCAACGAGGAAUUCCUAGUAAACGCAAGUCAUCAGCUUGCAUUGAAUACGUCCCUGCCCUUUGUACACACCGCCCGUCGCACCUACCGAUUGAACGGUCCGGUGAAAUCUUCGGACUCUGUGUUUAUUGAUUCGUUUCAAUUUACUACUGGAGAAAGUUGAGUAAACCUUACCAUUUAGAGGAAGGUGAAGUCGUAACA
rnacentral:rRNA from 1 species